rnacentral:rRNA from 1 species
GGAAGAACAAGUGCCGUUCAAAUAGGGCGGCACCUUGACGGUACCUAACCAGAAAGCCACGGCUAACUACGUGCCAGCAGCCGCGGUAAUACGUAGGUGGCAAGCGUUGUCCGGAAUUAUUGGGCGUAAAGGGCUCGCAGGCGGUUUCUUAAGUCUGAUGUGAAAGCCCCCGGCUCAACCGGGGGAGGGUCAUUGGAAACUGGGGAACUUGAGUGCAGAAGAGGAGAGUGGAAUUCCACGUGUAGCGGUGAAAUGCGUAGAGAUGUGGAGGAACACCAGUGGCGAAAGCGACUCUCUGGUCUGUAACUGACGCUGAGGAGCGAAAGCGUGGGGAGCGAACAGGAUUAGAUACCCUGGUAGUCCACGCCGUAAACGAUGAGUGCUAAGUGUUAGGGGGUUUCCGCCCCUUAGUGCUGCAGCUAACGCAUUAAGCACUCCGCCUGGGGAGUACGGUCGCAAGACUGAAACUCAAAGGAAUUGACGGGGGCCCGCACAAGCGGUGGAGCAUGUGGUUUAAUUCGAAGCAACGCGAAGAACCUUACCAGGUCUUGACAUCCUCUGACAAUCCUAGAGAUAGGACGUCCCCUUCGGGGGCAGAGUGACAGGUGGUGCAUGGUUGUCGUCAGCUCGUGUCGUGAGAUGUUGGGUUAAGUCCCGCAACGAGCGCAACCCUUGAUCUUAGUUGCCAGCAUUCAGUUGGGCCACUCUAAGGUGACUGCCGGUGACAAACCGGAGGAAGGUGGGGAUGACGUCAAAUCAUCAUGCCCCUUAUGACCUGGGCUACACACGUGCUACAAUGGGCAGAACAAAGGGCAGCGAAACCGCGAG